GACGAACGCUGGCGGCGUGCUUAACACAUGCAAGUCGAGCGGAGCGGCGAACGGGUGAGUAACGCGUGAGUAACUGCCCCCCUCUCUGGGAUAACAGAUGGAAACGGCUGCUAAUACCGGAUAGUGGGGGAUGAAUCGCGUCCUAUACGCUUGUUGGUGGGGUUGUGUCCUACCAAGGCGACGAAGGGUAGCCGGCCUGAGAGGGCGACUGGCCACAUUGGGCUGAGAUACGUCCCAAACUCCUACGGGAGGCAGCAAUGUGGAAUAUUGCACGAUGGGGGAAACCCGGAUGCAGCAACGCCGCGUGCGGGAUGACGGCCUUCGGGUUGUAAACCGCUUUCAUCCAUGACGCGGUAGUGGCAGAAGAAGCACCGGCUAACUACGUGCCAGCAGCCGCGGUAAUUC
rnacentral:rRNA from 1 species